rnacentral:rRNA from 1 species
ACGCACGCUGGCGGCGUGCUUCACACAUGCCAGUCGAACGGAAAGGCCCUGCUUUUGUGGGGUGCUCGAGUGGCGAACGGGUGAGUAACACGUGAGUAACCUGCCCUUGACUUUGGGAUAACUUCAGGAAACUGGGGCUAAUACCGGAUAGGAGCUCCUGCUGCAUGGUGGGGGUUGGAAAGUUUCGGCGGUUGGGGAUGGACUCGCGGCUUAUCAGCUUGUUGGUGGGGUAGUGGCUUACCAAGGCUUUGACGGGUAGCCGGCCUGAGAGGGUGACCGGCCACAAUGGGACUGAGAUACGGCCCAGACUCCUACGGGAGGCAGCAGUGGGGAAUAUUGCACAAUGGGCGGAAGCCUGAUGCAGCAACGCCGCGUGCGGGAUGACGGCCUUCGGGUUGUAAACCGCUUUCGCCUGUGACGAAGCGUGAGUGACGGUAAUGGGUAAAGAAGCACCGGCUAACUACGUG